rnacentral:rRNA from 1 species
AACGAACGCUGGCGGCAGGCCUAACACAUGCAAGUCGAACGCUGCAGCAAUGCAGAGUGGCAGACGGGUGAGUAACGCGUGGGAACCUUCCCAAUGGUACGGAAUAGCUCAGGGAAACUUGAGGUAAUACCGUAUAAGCCCUUCGGGGGAAAGAUUUAUCGCCAUUGGAUGGGCCCGCGUCGGAUUAGGUAGUUGGUGGGGUAAAGGCCUACCAAGCCGACGAUCCAUAGCUGGUUUGAGAGGAUGAUCAGCCACACUGGGACUGAGACACGGCCCAGACUCCUACGGGAGGCAGCAGUGGGGAAUCUUAGACAAUGGGGGCAACCCUGAUCUAGCCAUGCCGCGUGAGUGAUGAAGGCCCUAGGGUUGUAAAGCUCUUUCAGCUGGGAAGAUAAUGACGGUACCAGCAGAAGAAGCCCCGGCUAACUCCGUGCCAGCCGCCGCCGUAAAAC